GUCCUGGUUGUAUGUCCUUCUGAUGUCAGGGACACUCUUGCUUUAUUUCAAUCCUUUCCCUUCAGAGAUGGCUACCACAGAACCUUUUGCUUCAUUGAUUAGUCACACUUCCAAAGAGAUCUGCCUAGCAGGAAUCCUGCUUUGAGGUCUACAGCAUCAAGAAUGUAAAUGUACAUAGUAUGGCUCUCCUUUUGGUCAAACAACAGCUCGUGCCUGAUACAUGAUGGGAACCAAAAAGUGGACUCUCAUACAAUCAGUGGCUCUUGAUUUGGUCACUUUUGCUACAUGGAGGCAUCAAAUUUUAUUCUUUUCUUUUUGGUUUAGAAUUCAUGAGGGUUUCUGGGAUAAACCACAGCUAAAGCAUAGACAUAGCCUUGUUUUUAUCAUUAAUGUUCUCUCUUCGUUCAUUCACUGAAUAUUUUAUUCAGUACUGACUUAGGAGUAUCUAUACAGUGAGAUUUAAUGAAGAGACUACAAAUCCUUAAUGGAAAAAGUAUAUAUAGAAAAAGCAAAAGGAAAUAUUUUACCAUUAACCUUUACUCAAGAAUUUCAAUGAACUUUGCCAUCACUUAUUAUUUCAGAUAUGGAUAACCCUUAUUGAAACUGUUCAGGAUGACUUUCAAUGUACAAAUGGGAAAAGCUUAAACACUAAAAGUUAUAUAAGAAUAUUAAAUAAAGCUCAAGGUUUCUUCCUUCCAGUUUUUUUCUGCAGAAAUGGUAAAAUAUCCUUCUUUACUAUUAAAUGCAAGAUUAAAGUAAAUGGACACAUUAUGCCCAGAGAUGCUCUUUUCACUCAGCAAUGUUCUUUUUGCUACUGCAGACCACACAAAAGCUCUGAAAAAGGUAAUGUUAAAUAUGCUGCCAGUGGUUUCCAUUGAGAGAAGAGCUGAGGUGAAAGGAGAAUUCCAUUUCACUUAUGGCAAAAAUUAGGCAGCCUGGAAGCAAUGAGAGUUAACCAAAAAACUGACCAGCUGGAGACCAGAGCCCUUCCACCCCAUAGUAACUCUGCCAGAAAGAGCAAAUCCUAUCAGCUGGAAAUAAACCUGAGUUCUUGAAGCAGGAAAUAUGGACCCUUACAGGAAAGAAGAUGGGGAGGAUGUUUUAAAAUGUGCUCAGAAGGAGUUGGCAUAAGAGGCGAAGGUUCACUUGUACAAAGCAGAAAGAAACAGAAAUAACAUGGUCAGAAUCUCUACAAAAAUCGUGCUAUUAGAAAUCAUCAAAGCAGCCAAACUUUGUUUUGGGAAGAAACUGGGAAGAAGACUAACGUCUUAAAGGAUAUGGGAGAAAGACUCUUUGUGGAAUGUAAUUCAUUCUGGUCCUUAGUGGCCAGUUUGGGAAUUAAAAAAAAAAGAAUUUGUAAACUUAAAAACCAAUUUUUCCCAGCAUUUUUUUCUUAACCUUUGUAAACCUCUUUUAAAGACUGACAAAAAAAAUAUUCAGUCACUCUUGCAGCCAGGAAUUUUUGAAAUUACUUAUCACAAUGUUGAAAUACAGUAUAUUCAUGAGCUCAGAGUUAAAUACAAAUAAGAUGUUUGUGGACCAGUUUGUGUAUCACUUUGGUUGCCAAAGCCAAUUUCCCCGAAACAUUUAGGUAUGUAACUACACGUUGUGUAAUUGGAAGAUACCACCUCUCUCUCUGAGUUGGGCUAAAUUCAGGAAAAAUAGAAGAAAAUUAAGAAAUUCCAAGAGACUGAGAAGGGUGAUGCCAGUCCCUUAGAUACUUAUGUGACCUCAUGAAAGUGAAUUUUGUCUUCUUAUUUACCAAAUCUAAACCCAGGACAAAUUGGCCCAGAACCAACUGAUUAACUAAUGCUGAUUUGUACUUGAAUUUACAAAUUGCAAUCAUCGGAAGGAAACUUCAACAAUUUUAUAAGAUCUGGAAAUCAUCUGAGGUGGACUUUUUCUACACAGUUAAGGAUUAAGAAAUGAGCCACAUACAGGGAAGAAGCAAUCCUUUCUUCUUUGGGCAGACUGGAACAGUGGGGAGAGGGGCCAACUUUGGUAUCAGGAAGACCUGGGCUCCAGUACUGCUUCUGACACAUACAGGCUUUGUUACUCUGGACACAACUUGUGGCACUUGGCAGCACUCAUAAGCCUGAGAAGAGAAGAAAGCAUAAGAGAUAAUGUGGCAGGUCUACGUGCAGGAGGGACUUCAGGGAGUUGAGGUGAUUAUCCAGGGGGCUCCUGUCACCUUGUCCUGAAACCCACAAAGAAGAGCCAUAAAGGAAACUGGUGGAAUGCUUAGAGCAGAAGGUUGGAGGGGAAGGGCUUCCAACAUGAUGUCCCAAGCUGUGGCAGAAACCCAAGAACCAAAAAGAAAAGGUCAAAUUGAGAAAGAAAGAAAAAACUUCCCUCACUUUAUAUGAAUGAAGAGAAAGCAAGAAGUGAAGAAAAGUAAAAGUGGAACUCUUGCAAUUAAAAUAAUCUCCCUCCUUUACCGCUCCAAGGAGUCAGAAAUACCGAGAAACCUGUUGCUGAGAUCCCAUCUACUGACUUUUGUGGAGAGCUAUGCAUCAGUUCCAUAGAGGUGAUCAAGACAGGGUGAGGGAGUAAAACGUGUGGCCUUCCGCUUCUGGCUACAACAGAAGGUUGCAGGUGGUGGGCGUGAAGAGAUGGGAGAGAGACAAUUUCCAGGGAGUUGAGUUUCUGCAAAAUCGGACUGUGGCAUACCCCGAACCAUCGAAUAUUUCAUAUCGUGCCCCAAGGAACACGUGGCCAUGGCCCUGGGCUAGUUUUUGGCGAAUAGGAAGGGCAGUUUUUCUCUAAUUCAUCUCAAUGAAACCUCAAGACUUUUUAUUCCGGAGAAUGACUGGAAAGGAGGGUGGGGGGUGGGAGAGUAGGUAACCUGCUCAACUAUAAGAAUAUUUUCUGUGUCCUCUUAAUCUUGGCAUUAUAAAAUAAAUUUAAUUCCUCGUGUU